rnacentral:tmRNA from 1 species
GGGGCUGUUUGGUAUCGACGGGAAAGAAAGUUGUUUCGUAAGCAUGCCGGGGCAUGAGCGGUUACCCCGUAAAAAACAACGUUCGACAAUUGAAUGGCAACUAUCAGUAUGCCAUGGCUGCCUAAUUCUAGCGAGUUAGAACGCCAUUGUGCCGCGUGAGGGCCACGCUCAGCGUCCCCCUCUUAGCCUUGAUGCCUGCUACACAGGCCGCCGCACAUCAUCAAAAAAGCAGGAUUGCCCGAGGGAGUGUCUCGACCCAAAGGUGAAAUCAAGGGGCUAAGGCGCGAACCGGUACGUCUCCGAACCUGACCCGUGCCCGACAAUCUAAUCGGAAACUAAGCAUGUAGAAAGCGUUGCGGCGCUUUGUCCGGACGCGGGUUCGACUCCCGCCAGCUCCAC